rnacentral:rRNA from 1 species
CUACGUGCCAGCAGCCGCGGUAAUACGGAGGAUACGAGCGUUAUCCGGAAUUAUUGGGUUUAAAGGGUGCGUAGGUGGCGUAUUAAGUCAGUGGUGAAAAGCUGCAGCUCAACUGUAGUCUUGCCGUUGAAACCGAUAUGCUAGAGAGGAGACGAGGUAUGCGGAAUGUGUGGUGUAGCGGUGAAAUGCAUAGAUAUCACACAGAACGCCGAUUGCGAAGGCAGCGUACCAGGCUCCGUCUGACACUGAAGCACGAAAGCGUGGGGAUCAAACAGGAUUAGAUACCCUGGUAGUCCACGCAGUAAACGAUGAAUACUAGAUUUUUGCGAUAUAGUGUAAGAGUCUAAGCGAAAGCGAUAAGUAUUCCACCUGGGGAGUACGCCGGCAACGGUGAAACUCAAAGGAAUUGACGGGGGCCCGCACAAGCGGAGGAACAUGUGGUUUAAUUCGAUGAUACGCGAGGAACCUUACCCGGGAUUGAA